rnacentral:rRNA from 1 species
AUGGAGAUGGUGGAGAAGCUUUCUCUCACCACAAGACCACAUCCACAUCCUUACUACAUCCAAUGGUUCAACAACAGCGGCAAGGUUAAGGUAACAUGUACUGUUCGUGUGCAUUUUAGUAUAUCUACAUAUGCUGAUUAUGUUGAUUGUGAUGUGGUACCUAUGCAAGCAUGUUCCUUAUUACUUGGUAGACCAUGGCAAUUUGAUAAAAAUUCUGUACACCAUGGUAGAAACAAUCACUAUACUCUUGUUCAUAAGGAUAAAAAUAUUACUUUGCUUCCUAUGACUCCUGAUUCCAUUUUGAAAGAUGAUAUUAAUAGAGCUAAUAAAGCAAAACAGGAGACGAAUAAGAGUGAAAAUCAGAUUGUGGCAAAAGAAUUUGAGCAACAAAUGAAGCCUAAUAAUAAACCAUCUAGUGUUGCUUCUGAAAUUAAAUUGAAAAGUGCAUGUUUAUUUGCCACCAAAUCUGAUAUUGAUGAGCUAGAUUUCAGCAAAUCUGUUUGCUAUGCUUUUGUGUGGAAAGAGGCAUUAUUUUCAUUCGAGGACGUGCCUUCCUCUUUGCCUCCUGCUGUCACUAACAUUUUGCAGGAGUUCGCUGACGUCUUUCCACAAGACGUGCCACCGGGAUUACCGCCUAUUCGAGGGAUUGAGCAUCAGAUUGACUUAAUUCCCGGUGCUUCACUGCCAAACCGUGCACCAUACCAUACCAAUCCAGAGGAGACGAAGGAGAUUAUGCGUCAAGUACAAGAGCUUCUCGACAAAGGUUAUAUACGCGAAUCCCUUAGUCCUUGUGCUGUUCCUAUUAUUCUAGUGCCGAAAAAGGAUGGUACAUCAUGUAUGUGUGUUGAUUGUAGAGGCAUUAAUAAUAUUACUAUUCGUUAUCGUCAUCCUAUUCCUUGGCUAGAUGAUAUGCUUGAUGAAUUGAGUGGCUCUACAAUAUUCUCCAAAGUUGAUUUGCCUAGUGGAUACCAUCAAAUUCGUAUGAAAUUGGGAGAUGAAUGGAAAACAGCAUUCAAAACUAAGUUUGGAUUAUAUGAGUGGUUAGUCAUGCCUUUUGGGUUAACUAAUGCACCUAGUACUUUCAUGAGAUUAAUGAACGAAGUUUUACGUGCUUUCAUUGGACGAUUUGUGGUAGUUUACUUUGAUGACAUAUUGAUUUAUAGCAGAUCUUUGGAAGAACAUUUGGAACAUUUACGUGCUUUUUUUAUUGCUCUACGUGAUGCACGUUUGUUUGGUAACCUUGGGAAGUGCACCUUUUGCACCGACCGAGUAUCUUUUCUUGGCUAUGUUGUUACUCCACAGGGAAUUGAAGUUGAUAAAGCCAAGAUUGAAGCUAUUGAGAGUUGGCCGCAACCCAAAACGGUCACACAAGUGAGGAGUUUUCUUGGCCUCGCUGGAUUCUAUAGGCGUUUUGUGAGAGAUUUCAGCACCAUUGUUGCACCUCUCAAUGAGCUUACAAAGAAAGAUGUGCCUUUUCUUUGGGGUACCGCACAGGAAGAAGCCUUCUCGGUAUUGAAAGAUAUUUUGACACAUGCUCCUUUACUCCAACUUCCUGAUUUUAAUAAGACUUUUGAGCUUGAAUGUGAUGCUACUGGAAUUGGAUUAGGCGGUGUGUUAUUACAAGAUGGCAAACCUGUUGCAUACUUUUCUGAAAAAUUGAGUGGGCCUAGUCUGAAUUAUUCUACUUAUGACAAAGAAUUAUAUGCUCUUGUUCGGACUUUAGAAACAUGGCAACAUUAUUUAUGGCCCAAAGAAUUUGUUAUACAUUCUGAUCAUGAAUCUUUGAAACAUAUUAAAAGUCAAGCUAAACUGAAUCAUAGACAUGCUAAAUGGGUUGAAUUCAUUGAGACUUUUCCUUAUGUCAUUAAACACAAGAAGGGAAAAGAAAAUGUUAUUGCCGAUGCAUUGUCUCGCCGCUAUACUAUGCUUUCACAACUUAACUUCAAAAUAUUUGGUUUGGAGACCAUCAAAGAUCAAUAUGUGCAUGAUGCUGAUUUUAAAGAUGUAAUGCAGAAUUGUAAAGAAGGAAGAAUGUGGAACAAGUUCGUCGUUAACGAUGGAUUUGUGUUUCGUGCUAACAAGCUAUGCAUUCCAGCUAGCUCUGUUCGUCUUUUGUUGUUGCAGGAGGCGCAUGGAGGAGGAUUAAUGGGACACUUUGGCGUGAAGAAGACGGAGGACGUACUUGCUACACAUUUCUUUUGGCAAAAGAUGAGACGGGAUGUUGAGCGUUUUGUUGCUCGAUGCACUACAUGUCAAAAAGCUAAGUCACGACUCAAUCCUCAUGGUUUAUAUAUGCCUUUGCCUGUACCUAGUGUUCCUUGGGAGGAUAUAUCUAUGGACUUUGUUUUAGGUUUACCUCGAACAAAGAAGGGGAGGGAUAGCAUAUUUGUUGUCGUGGAUAGAUUCUCGAAAAUGGCACACUUUAUACCAUGUCAUAAAAGCGAUGAUGCUGUUAAUGUUGCUGAUUUGUUCUUUCGUGAAAUUAUUCGCUUGCAUGGUGUGCCAAAUACUAUUGUUUCAGAUCGUGAUACUAAAUUUCUUAGCCACUUUUGGAGAUGUUUAUGGGAUAAGUUGGGGACUAAACUGCUUUUUAGUACUACUUGUCACCCCCAAACUGAUGGACAAACUGAAGUAGUCAAUAGAACGUUGUCUAUUAUGCUUAGGGCUGUUUUGAAGAAUAAUAAGAAAAUGUGGGAGGAAUGCUUGCCUCAUAUUGAAUUUGCUUAUAAUCGUUCAUUGCAUUCUACUACUAAGAUGUGCCCUUUUGAAGUUGUGUAUGGUUUCCUACCUCCUGCACCUAUUGAUUUGUUGCCUCUUCCAUCUUCGAAGAAGGUUAAUUUUGAUGCUAAACAACGUGCUGAAUUGAUUUUAAAAAUGCAUGAGUUAACUAAGGAAAACAUUGAGCGUAUGAAUGCUAAAUAUAAACUUGCUGGAGAUAAGGGUAGAAAACAUGUUGUGUUUGCACCUGGAGAUCUUGUUUGGUUACAUUUGCGUAAGGAUAGAUUUCCUGAUUUGCGCAAAUCAAAGCUAAUGCCACGUGCUGAUGGUCCCUUUAAGGUGUUAGAGAAAAUAAAUGAUAAUGCAUAUAAACUUGAGCUGCCUGCAGAUUUUGGGGUUAGUCCCACUUUUAACAUUGCAGAUUUGAAGCCUUAUUUGGGUGAGGAAGAUGAGCUUCCGUCGAGGAUGACUUCAUUUCAAGAAGGGGAGGAUGAUGAGGACAUCAAUACCAUUGUUACACCCACAGCCCCUACUGCUACAUAUACGGGACCAAUUACUAGAGCUCGCACACGCCAAUUAAAUUAUCAGGUACUUUCGUUUCUUGGUAAUGAUUCUAAUGUUCAUGAGAAUAUGAUGCUGCCUAAAUUGGAUACAUUUGUUUUGCUUACAAAUGAAGGGCCUAGUUUGGAGAAGGAUGAACAGUGGAGCAAGAACAAGCAUGGAGAUGAUGGCAUGCACAAGGGGAACAAGAACGGAGUUACAAGUGAUGAUUUCAGGACUUUGAAGCCACCAUAA